rnacentral:rRNA from 1 species
AUUGAACGCUGGCGGCAUGCUUUACACAUGCAAGUCGAACGGCAGCGCGGGCUUCGGCCUGGCGGCGAGUGGCGAACGGGUGAGUAAUACAUCGGAACGUGCCCAGUAGUGGGGGAUAGCUCGGCGAAAGCCGGAUUAAUACCGCAUACGACCUGAGGGUGAAAGCGGGGGAUCUUCGGACCUCGCGCUAUUGGAGCGGCCGAUGGCAGAUUAGCUAGUUGGUGGGGUAAAGGCCUACCAAGGCGACGAUCUGUAGCUAGUCUGAGAGGACGACCAGCCACACUGGGACUGAGACACGGCCCAGACUCCUACGGGAGGCAGCAGUGGGGAAUUUUGGACAAUGGGCGAAAGCCUGAUCCAGCAAUGCCACGUGUGUGAUGAAGGCCUUCGGGUUGUAAAGCACUUUUGGCGGGAACGAAAAGGACUGUGCCAAUACCACGGUUCGAUGACGGUACCCGCAGAAUAAGCACCGGCUAACUACGUG